GCUGGAAUUGCUGUAAUGGCAGGUCAGCAUACUGCCGUGAAUACGUUCCCGGGCCUUGUACACACCGCCCGUCACACCAUGAGAGUUGGGAAUACCCGAAGCCUGUGAGCUAACUUUUAGAGGCAGCAGUCGAAGGUAGAAUCAAUGAUUGGGGUGAAGUCGUAACAAGGUAAC
rnacentral:rRNA from 1 species